GACGAACGCUGGCGGCGGGCUUAACACAUGCAAGUCGAACGGAAAGGCCCUGCUUUUGUGGGGUGCUCGAGUGGCGAACGGGUGGGUAACACGUGAGUAACCUGCCCUUGACUUUGGGAUAACUUCAGGAAACUGGGGCUAAUACCGGAUAGGAGCUCCUGCUGCAUGGUGGGGGUUGGAAAGUUUCGGCGGUUGGGGAUGGACUCGCGGCUUAUCAGCUUGUUGGUGGGGUAGUGGCUUACCAAGGCUUUGACGGGUAGCCGGCCUGAGAGGGUGACCGGCCACAUUGGGACUGAGCUACGGCCCAGACUCCUACGGGAGGCAGCAGUGGGGAAUAUUGCACAAUGGGCGGAAGCCUGAUGCAGCCACGCCGCGUGCGGGAUGACGGCCUUCCGGUUGUAAACCGAUUUCGCCUGUGACGAAGCGUGAGUGACGGUAAUGGGUAAAGAAGCCCCGGCUAACUACGUG
rnacentral:rRNA from 1 species